rnacentral:lncRNA from 1 species
AAAACUAACAAAAAAGAUUUGAAGACGAUGAUGAAGUAGAUGGUGUAAUUUGUAGUAGAAGAAGAUGAAUGUUGUUGUUGUGAAAAAAUAUGGUGAUGUUGUUGUUUGCGUGAAGGUUUUUUUUUAUGUUACUUUAUGAAAUGUUGUGAGUUUAUGAAGGUUGUUGUUGCACAUGAUGUUAUGAAGGUAUUGAAAGAAGUAGUUUGUGUGAUGAAGUUAUAGAAAUGGUGAAAAAAUGAAGGUGGAAAGUUUAGAGGUUGGUUAUGGUGUGAAAUUAUGAAGAUGAAUGUGAUGGUGAGAUGUGAAGUUUGAUUAAAAAAAUGAAGAAAAAAAAAUGAGGGUUGUUGCUUUUGUG